GAUGACUACUAAAUCAGGAGUAUCCAUAAUGUUUACUGGAAAGAGACAUUAAUUAAAGCAGUAUUUCAGGGCUCAUAAGAAAUAUCUGGAUGAGAAUUCACGUAAAUGAGCACACAGAUGAAUCAAGCAAAGCCCAAAGUGUAGUUAGCUUACAGAAGGCAGGAUUCUUCACUAGUUUCAUGCACAUAUUUGCAUUAUUUGUAUGUGAAUAUAAAAGAUGGGAGGAUCCGUUGCUUAGCCAAUGGAUCAGCUGUGCUCUACACCUGAAAGGUCCCAGGCUCAAUCCCAGCCAUCCAGUUAAACAGAUCUCAGGUGGCUGAGAUGGAAGGACCAUUCAAGACUUUGCCGGGAGGAUAGGGUUGGGGUGAGAUGUAGGGUGGUGUCCCUUAAAUUGUGAGAACUGAGCCUGGGAUCUUGGAGACCCAUGGCCAGAUAGAGAGAUAAGCACAGCAUGGGCUGAAAUGGUCCAGUGGUCUGACUCAGUAUGCAGCAACUUCUACACAUAUAUUGUUCACUUAUUUUGAUUUAUAUUCUAUUCUGUCCCAAGUUGUGAAAAUGGUGUACAAAACACAACAUUCACAAUCAAAAUGAUACCACCUCAAACUAUAAGGAUUGCAAAAAAUACCCCCAACAAACCCAUAUGUUACAUUCUGGGUGGUCAUUAAGUAUAUUCUUUCAGUUACUCCACUUAGUUAACAAAACCAUAUAAUACAAACCAGGUGAUACCAAUCCUGCAUUGCCAAUGUGCUUGCAUCUGCCAUGUAAAAUACACUAGCAGAGAAAGCUAGUAGAACUUGAAGCUUGCAGAACUAGACGUCCCUUUACCACCUCCCACUCCUACUGUGGAAAUUCUGGAAGUGUUUGGGAACCUGUAGCUGUAUCCGAGGCACUUCUCUGUAGCUGUGAAGAGAUGUAUUUUUGCUCCUGAAAACAAAAAUCUCAAAUAUUCAUUAGAUUCAUGUUCUGUCCACUGUCAGGCUUCUCAUGCAUCUCUCCAGCAACGACUGGCACCCAAAUUGAUAAAACCAGCUUGCACAUGACAAAAGAGAGAAACUAUAUAUGAAAAUGGCAGGUCUGACACAAUAUAAUGUUAAACAGCUGCUCAAGACAAAGGGAAAGUAUGUUUGGCCAUCUCUUUUGUCCUUGAAUAUGCUUUUCUAAUCAAGGAAGUGUUGCAUACUCCACUCCAGUACAUAGCCCAGAUCAAAUCUUGUCAUAUCUUGAAAGGUACAUAGGAGAUAAAGGGAUGGGGUCCCCCCCCCCUUUUGCAGUCAUCCAACCAUAAGUGACCACUGCCACCAGACUUUUUCAUUAUUCUUCAUUUUCCAAGGAUAUCCCAAUUUUAUAACUUUAUGUUGAUCAUAGUUUUCCUUUAGUAGCUUUCUAGAUCUUAAUCUUGUGGUCAUUGCUCCCAAAGAAUGGCGCCUUUCUUUAUCAUGGAAAGUUCACAGGCAGUUUCAAAGCAAACUUUUUUCCUGCAUAUUAAGAGUGAGUUGGUGCAUAGUAAUGCUGCAAGAACCAGUAAAAUCCUGAAAAACUGAGCUUACUCUGUGAGGCGUCCUUUUUCAAAAGUCAUGAUUUCCAACACAGAAGCUGACACUUGUGAAAUUCUCUGGUGCAUUUUAUUUUGGUAUAUGCCAGAUGUCAUUAUUCAUUGCUAAGUAAGACAACUGCAGUCAUGAAGGGCUUCUGAACUCCUGAUCAGAUUAAGCAUCAUUUCUUAAUUUGACUAAGGGGUCAUCCAGAAUUGCUUUUGUGCUGUGCUUUCCAGGCACAGGUCUGUGCUUUAAAGCUCUACGUCCAAGUGUUUUGUUUUUAUGUCCUGGCACUCUCCCCAGGAAAAUCUGUGUUUUGCUGCUGAAUUAGAGCAAACAGGCAUCCAAGGAAAAUUUGAUUGCACUUUUCUGCAGUGGCUCCCCACUUGUGGAAUGCUCUCUCCAGGGAGGGUCGCCUGGUGUGUUUAUUAGAUACCUUUAGGCACCAGGUGAAAACCUUUCUCUAGAACUACUAUGCCUUUGUCUGAUUAACAUUCUAUAUUCUUUCAAAUGUGUUUGUGGGGAGUGUUUGGGGGGUUUUAUGUAUUUUAUGUCCUCAUUUUGCAUUUUUAUGUUGUGAACUCUGAUCUUUGUAUGAAGGGUGGUAUACAAAUUUAAUAAAUAGUAAAUACUAUUACUAAUAAUUAAAGCCCAGACCUGUGCCUAGAAACGCAGCACAGAAGGAAGUCAGAAUAAGUCUUUAUAUGUAACUCUGUUAUUCUAUUUCAUUUUUUUUUAAUGAAUUCCACUGUGCUGCUAAGGCUGCAUUUUAAAGUGAAAUACUUGUGUGGGUGGGGAGACAUCUUAAAACAUUUCCAUUAUAGUAUUUUCCCACCGAAGAAUCUCCCUCAAGUUAAUUUUAUCCAUGUUGAGGGGGGAAAUGUGGUUAUUCAUGUUUUCUUCAUCGUGGGGGCAUAUUGUGUGUGUAAUUUGCCAAGGAAAAAUAAUGCAAGGGAAAGGAUUAAGAAACUCCUCUGUGCCAGUCUCAUUCUCCAAACUUAGAAUGUCUUAGGCAUUGUAUUGUAUAAAAGAAAACAAUCUCUGAAAAUGCUUUCCCCUGUGUGCAUAGAUGAUGUGAGCCUAUUCUUGUUAUCCAAAUGUAAUUUUAUUGGUGCAGUUAGCGCUGUGCAUUCAAUACUCCAAGUAGCUCUGUGCAUGCCAAGCUACUUUCCUCUGCUUCUGGGAUAAGCCAAGGCAUGGAGUCAUCAACCUUUGGGGGACAGCGGGCACAUUUCCACUUUUGAGAAAGUCCCUUGGUCACAAAAGAGCCGCUAUGGGGUGCAACAUAACAGAAAAUAACAGAUGCUCUGGGGGUGACAUAUCUAAGGGGAGGGUGCAGGCGUGCUUCCUUCCCUCCAAUUAAUGGGAAAUAAGGCAGCUACAUCAGGCACCACGGCUCUUGUUGCAUGUUGAGGUCCCCAAGCCACCCCCUAAAUAAUUCACAAUUCACACAGAAUUUUUCUUUAGGGUUUUUGGCAUAAUUUUGGCCACAACUUUAUUAAAAUGCAUAAAUGUGAGUUGUUGCUUAAGUAUUGGUUACGACUAUCUGUCCCCGCCCCGGGACAGAACUGACUUCUGGAUUCCAGCGAAAGCCAGUAAGGGAAAAUCAUAUUGGGGAGAGAAUGGAGCUGGGCACCAUACCGUUACCUCUCCCUGCAUGCUCCCAGGGGCUUGCGUGGCCCUAGCCCCUUGCCAGGGAUUCGGACAAAAGCAUGGCAAACCUCUGGAUUCCUUUAAUGGAAUUCUCUUGCAGCAGCAGCAUUGGAGGGGCAGGCACAGCCAACCCUUACCCCUCCACUAACCAAAUUUUAACCAAUGCCUACCCACAACCUUACAAGCUGUGAUGAUUUGCUACGCAGUAGGCAAAAAGCAAAUGGCACCAGCCAAUCUGUCAAAUGGACAAAAUUCCUACCAGGCCCCUGCCCCCAAAGCAGACAACCCCAUGAGAGGCAUAGCAAUGUCAAACACAACAGCCCUAAAUUAGGGAGGGUGGGCAGGCGAUCCGAUGCAUGCAGCAAAAGAGACUGCACCAAGCUGCGUGCCAAGAAUAUAGAACCUUCAGGCCAACCCUCUAAAUGGUAACAUCAAAAUCUCCCCAACAACCCAACUUGGCCCAAUCACAGUCAUGGCCAUCCAAACGGUCCCACCCAGCAACUAAGGGGGUGUCUUGCUAGACCCCACCGCAACACGUGCUCUCCAUGAAGGAGAACACGCUCUCACAAAAGAAGCUCAGAACAGAAGGGAGGGCAUGUGCACAAUCCUGGCAUCCAAUUAAAUGUAGGCAUAUUUAAGGUGGCAUGUGCCAUGUGGGAGGUCAAGCCAUUGC